rnacentral:lncRNA from 1 species
AAAGGAUCAAGAGAAUGAGUCAUGGGGGUAUUGAAGGGAAGAGCAUUCCAAAGAAGGGGAACAGCCAGUGCAAAGGUCCUGAGGAAGAAAUGGCGCUUGCAAGCUCAAGGAAUAGCAGAGUGUGGGUGAAGAGGAAGGAGUAGGAAGAGGAGAGAGAUCUUAGCAGGAGAUGAGGUCAGAGAGAAGACAGGGAGCGGGCAGAUCAUGCGGGGCCUUGUAGAACAAUGCAAGGCCUGGCUUUGACCCUGGGUGAAAUGAUGCCAUCUGAUUUACCUUCAAAAAGGCUCACUUGGAGAGGGGAGGCAGGGAGGCCAGUGAGGUGGCUGCAGCCAAAUUCAGAGAUGAGGUGUCGCUAUGUUGGCCAGGCUGAUCUUGAACUCCUGGCUUCAAGAGAUCAUCCUGCCUCGGCUUCCUAAAGUGCUGGGAUUACAGGUAUGAGCCACUAUGCCUGGCCCCUCUUAUAUUAUUUUCUUAUUUACUUGUGGAUGCCCUGAUUCUGUUUUAUCAGAAGAAAUGCUCCUAUGGCUGAAGUUUUGAGUAAGAUGUUAGUUAUUGGAGACAUAAAUAUGUCUCCAUACAGUAGUUAUCUAUAGAUAGCUAAAUACCCAGAUAUUUAGCUUACAAAAGUUACAAAAUUAUUUUUAACUUCAUUAUAAAUUGAUAUUUCAUUUUAGCUAAUACCUUUUGGGAGGGCAUGAAGGAGAUGACUUUGUCAUUUUUCUAUUUUAACCCAUUGAUAUGGUAAAUCAUAUCUAUAGAUUUCCUAAUAUUGAACCAUCCUUGUAGUCUUGGUGCAAACCCCUGCUUGGACAUAUUAUGGUAGUUAUAUGAUGUACUGUUGUAAGUGAUUCAUUAAUAUUUUAUUUAAUGUUUGGGAUCAAUUUGCUUUUUUCUUGUUGUUUUCAGCUUUUAGUGCUACUUUUAUGCCUGCUUUAUUUAAAAUUCAAAAAAAUUCUUCUUUCUAAAUGCAUUGGAACACUAUUUUUAUUCCUUAAUUAUAUUUUUAAAAUUGUAUUUUACCAUACAGUAAAAUUGACUUUAUUUGGAGAGUGUACAGUUCUAUGAGUUUUGACAGAUAUAUAUAUAUAAUCAGCACAUAUCAAGGCAUAGGACAAUUCCAUCAUUACAUAAAGCUCUCUUGUGGUUGCUAACCAGCAGGGAAGGCAGAGGAGGAAGGGAGGGAAGAGGAGUAAGAGGAAGAAGAAGAAAGAAAGAUGGAGGGAGGGAGAGAAAGGGAAAAAGAGAAAGAGAAAGAAAGGAAGGGAGGAAAGGGGGAAAAAGGGAGGAAGGGAAGGAGGGGGAGGAAAAAAGGGAAAGAGAGGUGAAGGGAAGGAGAGAAAAGUGUGAGAGAGGGAGGAGGGAGGAAGGGAAGGCUGAAGCAGGGAGGAAGGAGAGGAGAGAGAGGGAGAGGGAAAGGGAGAAGGGGAGAGAAGAUGAUGAUGAUCAGAAGGAACUUGUGGAACAGAAUCAAACAUUCCUCAGGGGUUCCCAGAAUUGUUUUUAUGGGGAACCUAGCAGAAGGAUGGAUUAUGGUUGGGAAGGCUAAGAGUCAUAGUAAUUUGGAUCUUAAAAUUACUUUCUGGUCAAAGACUGUUGAAACCUGAGAACAUAUUGGUGAAUGUUUGUUUGGAAGUAACUGUUGAAGCCUAUUAAUUUUCUUCUGAAUACAGCUUUAACUGUUUCAGUUUAUUUGUCCUUUCAGCCAGGAGUUGUUGGUGGGGAGAAAAUGUCUGAAUUUUUAUUUUUUGGUUUGCCUUUACUAUUAAUUUAUGCUUCUAUUGCAUGAAGUUCAGAGCUUGUGAACUGUACUAUAUCUACUAUACAAAUCUAAAAGAUAUGUACUAUAUCUUUUAGAUUUUUUUAGGUUUCCUUUGUAGCCUAGCACAUGUCAAAUAUUCCACUGGCAUGUGAAGAAAAGGAAUAUUCUCUGUUUUCUGUGGACAGAGUUUAACAUAUUAUAUAUACACAUAUUUGAUCAAUGUCAUUAAUUAUAUUAUUUAAAUUAUUUAUAGCUUUAAUUAUUUCUGAGAGGAGGGAGUUAAAGUUUUCUAUUCUUGUGUUUCUCCUGAUUUCACAUUGUAUUUAUCUAAGAGUUUUUGCUUCAUGUCUUUUGAUGUUACAUUAUCUGGAAUGAUGUCAUUGACAAUCAUUCUCAUUGUGUUUUACAUCCUUUAUCAGCAUGGGUAAUGCUUUGUCUCAUUUGAUAAUUUUUUUGGUUUCAUUUCAACUUUGUUGAUAUUAGUGUCAUGAAUCCUAAUUUCUUUUAGUUCAUAUUUGCCCGGCAGGUUCCCAAAAAUCAUUUCUUUAAAAUUCCUUCCCAAUCCUUUCCUUUUCUCUCACUCCCUCCUGCCCCCAUCUUAACUAUCCAGUUACUGAUAUAGUUUAUCACAUGUUUUUACUUUCUAAAAAGAGAUAUAUUUAUCUCUCUUCCUUGAUUUCUUAGCUCAAGAUACAAAACAAUGUAUAAUAGUGUAUAGUGAGUCUCUACCAUAAAAAAUUACAAGAUCUGUGGAUUCAUACUUCCUCCUUAUUUCAACUUUGUUAUGAUCUGAGAUUUUUAUCACAGGCCAUUGUAGGUAUUCCAUUUUAAUUGUUUAUUUUUACAUAAUAUAGAUUUUCUUUGAGGAGUUAUAAUUUUGACUUAAAAUUAAAUUUCACAGUUUUUGAGGCUUGAUUUUAUAUUUAAAAGGAUCCAAGAUUCACUUUUUUUUCCCCCCGAGAUAGGGUCUCACUCUGUCGCCCAGGCUGGAGUGCAUUCUUGCAGUCAUGGCUCACUGCAGCCUCCACUUCUGUGGCUUAAGUGGUCCUCCCAUCUCAGCCUCCUGAGUAGCUGAUGGUACAGGCAUGCGCCACCACACCCAGCUAAUUUUUAAAUUUUUUGUGGAAACUGAGUUUCUCUAUAUUGCCUAGGCUGGUCUUGAACUCCUGGGCUCAAGUGAUCCUCCCACCUCAGCCUCCCCGAGUGCUGAGAUUACAGAUAUGAACCACUGUGCUGGGCCCAAGAUUCACUUCUUAACCUCUUCUUUACCCUUCCUUCAAUAGCUUUCCUAUUCCUGACUUCUUUAUUUUGAAUUAUCUUUUGGUUUUCUGGGUUUUAUUAUUUUCUUUUUCUUUUUCUUUUUUUUUUGAGAUGGAGUUUUGCUCUUGUUGCCCAGGGUGGAGUGCAAUGGCGUGAUCUUGGCUAACCGCAAUCUCUGCCUCCUGGGUUCAAGCAAUUUUCCUGCCUCAGCCUCCCGAGUAGCUGGGAUUAUAGACAUGCACCUCCAUGCCUGGCUGAUUUUGUAUUUUUAGUAGAGACGGGGUUUCUCCAUGUUGGUCAGGCUGGUCUUGAACUCCCAACCUCAGGUGAUCCACCUGCCUCAUCCUCCCAAAGUGCUGGGAUUACAGGUGUGAGCCACCUUGCCCGGUCUGGGUUUUAUUAUUGAAAAGCAUUUUUUAAAAGAAAUGUUGAUGAAUCCUACAGUCCCUGAAUUUAGGUACUUCUAUGCACACAAGGAAGAUUAUGUGAGAUGAUGGAUAUGUUAACAAUUUGCUUGACUGUAGCAGUUAUUCCAUUGUGUAUAUGUACAUCAAAACAUUUUAUUAUACCUUAAAUACAUACAAUGAAUUUUUUAGAAGGAAAAAAAGCUAAAAACAAUG